UUUUUUUUUUUUUUAACUUACUCUACCUUUAAACAAAUUUAUUUAUUUUCUUAUUCUCCAUGUAUUUAGGGUGCAAUAUAUUCACAUUUGGAAGCAAUACAAUUGCAUUUCUUUAAAACACGGAAUAAGUUUCAGACUUUUCACCAUCAGGUCAAACUGGUCUCUCAUUUGACAUUUCAUUUUCUUUUCCCUAAUUUGGGCAAAAGGUUAAAAAUAGUUUAUUCUUCCUGAGCAGAGACAACUGCAAAUCAACAGAAGUACAUAGCAGUAGCCAUAACACUAAUGGCCAAUAACUUUUGAGUGUUCUACAUACACUAGGCACAGUUCUAGGUGUUCAGCAAUGACUUAGCUCCUUUAAUCUUCACAGUGACUUGCUGAGGUUGGUACUAUUUAUCAUUCCCAUUUUCACUGACAAGGAAGAGAAAAGUUAAAGAACUACUUGAGAUUACCCAGCUGGCACAUGGCCAGGCGAAGAUUGGAACAAAGCCUGCGGAGCUCAGAACCUGUGCAGUUGACUGUCACAUUAUAUCACUCUUACCUCCCAGCGAUCUACAGUAAAGCCCCCACCAAGGGACUGAGGAGAGAGGGAAGGCUUCAGGAAACUUGGACUAGAGAGUACGCUGUAAAGUUGGGUUUCCCAAGAAGUAGAUUCUGAGACAGAGAGUUGUGUGCAGGCGUCUAUUGAGAAAACACUUGUGAGGGCAUGAGGAAGUAGGACAGCGGCAGAGUUUGGCCUGAGGAAAGGCCUUGUGAGGACAUAACCAGGAAGAGAGUCCUCACCAGAACCUGACCAUACCUGCACCCUGAUCUCAAGCUUCCAGCUUCCAGAACC
rnacentral:lncRNA from 10 species